CGAACGGGUGAGUAACACGUGGGUGAUCUGCCCCUGACUUUGGGAUAAGCCUGGGAAACUGGGUCUAAUACCGGAUAUUCACUUUUCCUCGCAUGGGGUUUGGUGGAAAGCUUUUGCGGUUGGGGAUGGGCCCGCGGCCUAUCAGCUUGUUGGUGGGGUAAUGGCCUACCAAGGCGACGACGGGUAGCCGACCUGAGAGGGUGAUCGGCCACACUGGGACUGAGACACGGCCCAGACUCCUACGGGAGGCAGCAGUGGGGAAUAUUGCACAAUGGGCGCAAGCCUGAUGCAGCGACGCCGCGUGAGGGAUGACGGCCUUCGGGUUGUAAACCUCUUUCAGCUCCGACGAAGCGCAAGUGACGGUAGGAGCAGAAGAAGCACCGGCCAACUACGUGCCAGCAGCCGCGGUAAUACGUAGGGUGCAAGCGUUGUCCGGAAUUACUGGGCGUAAAGAGCUCGUAGGCGGUUUGUCGCGUCGUCUGUGAAAUUCUGCAGCUUAACUGCAGGCGUGCAGGCGAUACGGGCAGACUUGAGUACUACAGGGGAGACUGGAAUUCCUGGUGUAGCGGUGAAAUGCGCAGAUAUCAGGAGGAACACCGGUGGCGAAGGCGGGUCUCUGGGUAGUAACUGACGCUGAGGAGCGAAAGCGUGGGUAGCGAACAGGAUUAGAUACCCUGGUAGUCCACGCCGUAAACGGUGGGUACUAGGUGUGGGUUCCUUUUCACGGAAUCCGUGCCGUAGCUAACGCAU
rnacentral:rRNA from 1 species